rnacentral:rRNA from 1 species
AAGCAUAUCAAUAAGCGGAGGAAAAGAAACCAACAGGGAUUGCCUCAGUAACGGCGAGUGAAGCGGCAAGAGCUCAAAUUUGAAAGCUGGCCCCUUCGGGGUCCGCGUUGUAAUUUGCAGAGGAUGCUUCGGGAGCGGUCCCCAUCUAAGUGCCCUGGAACGGGCCGUCAUAGAGGGUGAGAAUCCCGUCUGGGAUGGGGUGCCCGCGCCCGUGUGAAGCUCCUUCGACGAGUCGAGUUGUUUGGGAAUGCAGCUCUAAAUGGGUGGUAAAUUUCAUCUAAAGCUAAAUACUGGCCGGAGACCGAUAGCGCACAAGUAGAGUGAUCGAAAGAUGAAAAGCACUUUGAAAAGAGAGUUAAACAGCACGUGAAAUUGUUGAAAGGGAAGCGCUUGCGACCAGACUCGCUCGCGGGGUUCAGCCGGCCUUCGGGCCGGUGUACUUCCCCGCGGGCGGGCCAGCGUCGGUUUGGGCGGCCGGUCAAAGGCCCUCGGAAUGUAACGCCCCCCGGGGCGUCUUAUAGCCGAGGGUGCCAUGCGGCCAGCCCGGACCGAGGAACGCGCUUCGGCUCGGACGCUGGCAUAAUGGUCGUAAGCGACCCGUCUUGAAACACGGACCAAGGAGUCUAACAUCUACGCGAGUGUUCGGGUGUCAAACCCGUGCGCGCAGUGAAAGCGAACGGAGGUGGGAACCCCUCGGGGUGCACCAUCGACCGAUCCUGAUGUCUUCGGAUGGAUUUGAGUAAGAGCGUAGCUGUUGGGACCCGAAAGAUGGUGAACUAUGCCUGAAUAGGGCGAAGCCAGAGGAAACUCUGGUGGAGGCUCGCAGCGGUUCUGACGUGCAAAUCGAUCGCCAAAUUUGGGUAUAGGGGCGAAAGACUAAUCGAACCAUCUAGUAGCUGGUUCCUGCCGAAGU